UAUUACACGUUAAUUCCGAAUCGAAACAAGCCAGAAGUACCGAGAUUAAUCCAAAACAACUGAAGUGUUUAAUGUCAAUAGUUAAUAGUGUUUUAUGAAACACCGAUUCAGUAAGGAUACAUAAGAAAUUUUGUGUUAAAAUUUCGAAGUAUGAAGUACAAUUACAAACAAAAACACUGAAACAUAAAUCAUGAUCUAUUGAGCACGGCUGUUCCAACAAUGUCAAACAAAUAUAUUUCCGAUACCAACUACAGAAAUUCAUGUAACUUUUGGGCAGACGAGCGUAUGAAGGAUGUCGCAAAUUCCGAAAAUGAUAAUUUUACGCCAGUCAUCAAUUAUUCCACAUCUGAUAAUGGUUGGUCGACGCCAACUAAUGGGUGGGCGACGCCUUCGAGUGGUUAUGGAACUCCUGUAGGCGUAGGAACCCCGUCUUGUCGAAGACGCAUUCUUGCUGGAAAUCAUAAUGACGAAAUAUAUUCCACGUCUGACAGUGGUUGGGCGACGCCUUCGAGUGGCUAUGGAAGUCCUGUAGGCAUAGGAACUCCAUCUUGUCGAAGACGCAUUCUCGUUGAAAAUCAUAAAAGCGAAAUAUAUUCUACGUCUCACAGUGGUUGGGCGACGCCUUCGAGUGGCUAUGGAAGUCCUGUAGGUGUAGGAACUCCAUCUUGUCGAAGACGCAUUCUCGGUGAAAAUCAUAAAAGUGAAAUAUAUUCCACGUCUGACAGUGGUUGGUCGACACCAACUAAUGGGUGGGCGACGCCUUCGAGUGGCUAUGGAACUCCUGUAGGCGUAGGAACCCCGUCUUGUCGAAGACGCAUUCUUGCUGGAAAUCAUAAUGACGAAAUAUAUGUUGAAGGAAGCUGUCCAGGACAAGGAAAUAAGGACGAAAGCAUUCGUAGGGGAGACUCUGAAGAAGCAAGUGGCCAAGUUAAAGGAAUUGACAGCAUUUGCUCUGACCGUGAUGCAAGUCUACUCAGGAAGCUGCAGACGGGUGAGGACCUGUAUCCUUUCUGCGAUGCGUCAGUAUGGCUCAGAUCUUGUUCGCAGGAGGUCGUGGAGCCACUAGAAGGGAAAAUCACAGGCUGUAUUCCGUACUGGUUAAAGGGGUCACUUUUACGAAAUGGACCUGGUAGUUUGAAAGUAGGAGAUAUGACAUUUGGACACCUGUUUGAUGGAUCCGCACUUUUGCACAGGUUUGCCAUUGAUGGGGGCCAUGUGACAUACCAGUCCCGUUUCCUUAAGACGCAGACAUACAAACGUAAUAUGGCUGCCCAGAGGAUAGUUGUAACAGAAUUCGGAACAAAAGCAGUGCCUGAUCCGUGUCAAACCAUUUUUCAAAGGGUAUCAGCCCUGUUCACACCUGGAGAAACCACUUCCGACAACGCGAUGAUCUCCGUGUAUCCUUUCGGAGACGAACUCUACGCCCUUACAGAGUAUCCCGUGAUUCACCGCUUUGACCCCAUCACGCUAGACACUUUGGACAGGGUGAAUGUUUCCAAGUAUGUGGGGAUUGUAAACCAUACAUCACACCCACAUGUGAUGGAUGAUGGCACAGUGUACAACCUGGGAAUGUCAAUAUCAGUAACCGGACCCCAUUACGCAAUUAUCAAGUUCCCACCAACUUGUGAUGUCAAGUCUGCUGGUGAUGGGUGUUCCAAUAAACGACUGAGUAUGUUUGAACAAGCUAGGAUUAUAGGCUCAAUACCUGCCAGAUGGCCACUUCAUCCUGCCUACAUGCAUACUUUUGGUUCUACUGAAAACUACUUUGUGAUAGUGGAGCAACCAUUGUCUGUAUCUGUGCCAGCCAUGGUACGAAAUCAUCUUUUGAAUGAGCCAAUGGCAGGAAGCUUCAGAUGGUACCAAGACCAACAAACCCAAAUUCUUCUUAUGCAGAGAAAAGAUGGUCAGUUGUUUAAGAUAUUUCUUGCAGAGGCUUUCUUCUACCUUCAUAUUAUAAACUCUUAUGAAGAAGAUAAUCAUCUAAUUGUUGACAUAUGCUGUUACAAAGAUCCCACUAUGCUGGACUGCAUGUAUGUGGAAGCUUUGAUGGGCAUUCAGAAGAAUCCUGACUAUGCCAGAAUGUUCAGGGGUCGGCCUUUGCGAUUUGUAUUGCCACUGAAGAAUGUUUCCUCAGACACUGCUCCAGAGACAAACCUAGUAACACUGCAGGGAGCCAAAGCUACUGCUUAUCGACUCUAUGAUGGGAAUAUAUUUUCACAGCCUGAACUUCUAUGUGAUCUUGGAUGUGAAACACCUAGAAUUUAUUACGAAAAAUAUCUUGGACAGCCAUACAGAUAUUUUUAUGCCAUUUCAUGUGAUGUAGAUGCAGAUAACCCAGGCACACUGAUAAAGGUGGACAUCAAAACUCGCACAAAGAUGACCUGGUGUGAAGAAAAUGUAUAUCCCAGUGAACCAAUUUUUGUACCCUCACCAGAUCCAAAGGAGGAGGAUGAUGGAGUUGUGUUGUCAGCAUUGGUGUGGGGCAGAGGAAUUGAAAGGGAGGUAGGAAUCCUUGUGCUGGAUGCCUCUACAUGGCAAGAACUGAGUCGAGCAACUUUCACCACCCCAAGUCCAGUGCCCAAAUGUUUACAUGGAUGGUUUACUGAAAAUAUAGACUUAACAUUUAAGUCAACACUGCUUCAAUGAUGAUCAGACAUCUUACUGCAGUUGCUGUUUAUGCCGUGUACAUGAUUAUCCUUUUUUUGCAAAAGUAGGACACCCCCCCUUCCAGUGGCGACGUAACAUCAUUGGAGCAACUGCCGCUGCUACGGUAACAGGCCAGUCAACACUCUGUCCCCCUCCUCCACGGUGACAUAACAGCACUUCCCAAUGUGAUGUAACAAGGGGACACCGCUGGUAACAUGAGGCAACAGGGAACGGUAUAAAAAGCCAGCUGAGCAGUAUGUGACCAUAGUGUGAGAUCAGGAGUGACACAGUGUGGAUCAUGAAGUUGCCGAGUGCAGUUGAAGUCUAACAUUCGCCAGAGUGAAUGGAAGCAGGAGAAGUAAUUGUAAUACUGCCUAUGGCAGUUAUUUGGAGAUUGUAAAUUGUGUAAA